UACGAAGGGUGCAAGCGUUACUCGGAAUUACUGGGCGUAAAGCGUGCGUAGGUGGUGAGUUAAGUCUGUCGUGAAAGCCCCGGGCUCAACCUGGGAAUGGCGAUGGAUACUGGCUCGCUAGAGUCCGGUAGGGGACCACGGAAUUCCUGGUGUAGCGGUGAAAUGCGCAGAUAUCAGGAGGAACACCGGUGGCGAAGGCGGUGGUCUGGGCCGGCACUGACGCUGAGGAGCGAAAGCGUGGGGAGCGAACAGG
rnacentral:rRNA from 1 species